AAUGUAGGCUGUUUUGCAAGUCAGGGGUGAAACCCCUCAGCUUAACUGAGGAAGUGCCUUUGAAACUGCAUAACUAGAGGACAGGAGAGGAAAGUGGAAUUCCCGGUGUAGCGGUGGAAUGCGUAGAUAUCGGGAGGAACACCAGAGGCGAAGGCGGCUUUCUGGACUGAUCCUGACGCUGAGAUUCGAAAGCUAGGGGAGCAAACAGGAUUAGAUACCCUGGUAGUCC
rnacentral:rRNA from 1 species